GACGAACGCUGGCGGCGUGCUUAACACAUGCAAGUCGAACGGAAAGGCCCUGCUUUUGUGGGGUGCUCGAGUGGCGAACGGGUGAGUAACACGUGAGUAACCUGCCCUUGACUUUGGGAUAACUUCAGGAAACUGGGGCUAAUACCGGAUAGGAGCUCCUGCUGCAUGGUGGGGGUUGGAAAGUUUCGGCGGUUGGGGAUGGACUCGCGGCUUAUCAGCUUGUUGGUGGGGUAGUGGCUUACCAAGGCUUUGACGGGUAGCCGGCCUGAGAGGGUGACCGGCCACAUUGGGACUGAGAUACGGCCCAGACUCCUACAGGAGGCAGCAGUGGGGAAUAUUGCACAAUGGGCGGAAGCCUGAUGCAGCAACGCCGCGUGCGGGAUGACGGCCUUCGGGUUGUAAACCGCUUUCGCCUGUGACGAAGCGUGAGUGACGGCAAUGGGUAAAGAAGCACCGGCUAACUACGUG
rnacentral:rRNA from 1 species